rnacentral:rRNA from 1 species
CGCGUAGGCGGCUUUGUAAGUCAGAUGUGAAAGCCCGGGGCUUAACCCCGGAAGUGCAUUUGAAACUACAAGGCUUGAGUAUGGGAGAGGAGAGCGGAAUUCCUGGUGUAGAGGUGAAAUUCGUAGAUAUCAGGAGGAACACCGGUGGCGAAGGCGGCUCUCUGGACCAAUACUGACGCUGAGGCGCGAAGGCGUGGGGAUCAAACA